rnacentral:rRNA from 1 species
GGAUGAGCGCUGGCGGCGUGCCUAAUACAUGCAAGUCGAGCGAACGGACGAGAAGCUUGCUUCUCUGAUGUUAGCGGCGGACGGGUGAGUAACACGUGGAUAACCUACCUAUAAGACUGGGAUAACUUCGGGAAACCGGAGCUAAUACCGGAUAAUAUUUUGAACCGCAUGGUUCAAAAGUGAAAGACGGUCUUGCUGUCACUUAUAGAUGGAUCCGCGCUGCAUUAGCUAGUUGGUAAGGUAACGGCUUACCAAGGCAACGAUGCAUAGCCGACCUGAGAGGGUGAUCGGCCACACUGGAACUGAGACACGGUCCAGACUCCUACGGGAGGCAGCAGUAGGGAAUCUUCCGCAAUGGGCGAAAGCCUGACGGAGCAACGCCGCGUGAGUGAUGAAGGUCUUCGGAUCGUAAAACUCUGUUAUUAGGGAAGAACAUAUGUGUAAGUAACUGUGCACAUCUUGACGGUACCUAAUCAGAAAGCCACGGCUAACUACGUG